GGGUGAAUAGUUUAAUUGGGAGAACAUAGACGCUCACCGUUGAAUCUAAGGUGGUAGAUCGACACUACCUUCACUCA